UACGUAGGGGGCAAGCGUUGUCCGGAAUUAUUGGGCGUAAAGAGCGCGUAGGCGGUCCGAUAAGUCGGCUGUGAAAGUCCAGGGCUCAACCCUGGAAAGCCGGCCGAUACUGUCGGACUAGAGUCCGGAAGAGGCGAGUGGAAUUCCCGGUGUAGCGGUGAAAUGCGCAGAUAUCAGGAGGAACACCGGUGGCGAAGGCGGGUCUCUGGGCCGAUACUGACGCUGAGGCGCGAAAGCGUGGGGAGCGAACCGG
rnacentral:rRNA from 1 species